CUCAUUAAAUCAGUUAUAGUUUAUUUGAUGGUCUCUUUUGUUCUUUUUUUACCUUACUUGGAUAACCGUGGUAAUUCUAGAGCUAAUACAUGCGCAAGGUCCCAAGCGCGGAGGGUAGGGCUUCACGGCUUUAUUCUUGCAUGCGUAGCGGGAUAUAUUUAUUAGGUUAAACAAUCAGCAUUUUCAUCAUCUGGUGAUUCAUAGUAACUCUUUCGGAUCGCAUUCAUG
rnacentral:rRNA from 1 species